rnacentral:rRNA from 1 species
UACGUAGGGGGCAAGCGUUGUCCGGAAUCAUUGGGCGUAAAGAGCGUGUAGGCGGCCAGGUAAGUCCGCUGUGAAAUCUCGAGGCUCAACUUCGAGCUGUCGGUGGAAACUGUCUGGCUAGAGUCCGGAAGAGGAGAAUGGAAUUCCUGGUGUAGCGGUGAAAUGCGCAGAUAUCAGGAAGAACACCCGUGGCGAAGGCGGUUCUCUGGGACGGUACUGACGCUGAGACGCGAAAGCGUGGGGAGCGAACAGG